CAAGCUUCUCAUUAUUGCAAUGCAUGUUUACAGAUAAGCAAGAGGAGAAGCCUAGACUAAUCCAAGUUGUUCAUGAAGAAAGUCAAACUCUAAAACAUUUAAAGAGGUUUAUUCUGCGCCAAAUAUGAGUGACCAUGGCUUGAGGCAUAAUAUCAAGAGGUCCUGAGAACAUUUACCCGAGGUGGUUGGGUACAGCUUGGUUCUACACAUUUUGGGGAGGAGACAUAAGACAUCAGUCAAUACAUGUGAGGUAUACAUUGGCUCGAUAUAAAAAGGCUGGACAUUUCAAAGUGGGGGUUUUCAGGUCAUAGGUGAAGUCAAAGAUUUCUUGAUUGGCAGUUGGUUGAAGGAGUUCAGCUUAAGAUAAGGAGGGAUGUGGAAGCCAAGGUUCUCGCUGUGUAGAUGGAGCCUUCAGGUAACAGGCUUCAGAUAUAAUAGAUGGUAAAUGUAUUUUGUCAGGUUUUAAAAGAUGUUAGACUUUUAGUUAAAUCUCUCCUGUAUCGGGAAAAAACCUGGAAAGAUUUCCAUACUACUGGCAAAGAUCUCACUAAUUAGCCCUCAUAUAUUGACUUCUGUUUUCAUUUUUCUUCUUUGUAAGUGACCUCAAACAAGUCAUAUAAGCUUUCCAAAUCUCUAUCAAAUCAUCUGAAAAUGAGGAAGAUGAACAUUAUCUAACAAGACAAACACAUAUCAGCAUCAGACAAGAUGCUCCUGGUUGGCAUCCCAGUGAUACAUAUCCUUCCAGAAGGCAAGCAGCCAGUUCAUACAAAUGCACUUCUGAGGAUUGAAAUAUGGAAAGCAUCUUCUUUCAAAAGGAAAUAUCACCAAGAAGAAAGGCUCUAUCAGCAUGUAGCUUGGAACCAAAUAAGAUCCGAGGCUAAUAAAAGUUCUGAAGCCUGACCUUGCAGACAUCCCUACACCUUACACAGCAUUCAACCCAGACAAGGCAUAAUAGCCAACAUAAACCAUGCUCAAAUCCCGUUACCACUUACAGAUUUCAAAAUUGCCAGCCAAUAAAAUGGAAGAGAACCUGUGCAUCCACAUGUAGGAAAUAAAGAUAAAAAUUAGGUGAAAAAUAUAGUGGUUAGCAUUGGGAGGAGGGCAUAGGGGAUGGGAGGCUCAGGACAAAACACUAGAUACCAGCAAUAAAAUGGAAGAGAAAAGCUCACUGCGGCCAUUCUAAUUGCCAUGGAAUCAAGCCAAUAGGAGUAAAUGAAAGCAGCCUGGGUUUUAGUGUUUCGUCUUUUUCUGUUUGCACUAUGUUUUCUUUGCUUUUUAUCUUCUGUAAGGAUUAUAAAGCCAGACAUCCAGUAAAAUGAGAAACAUGGAAAACACAGUAAAGUUCCUGGCUCAUAUUAAUUGACAAAAUAAAUAUUAAUGGAGUUCUUCCUUCCUCUUCAGUAUAUAUCCAGUGUUAGAGAAUUUGCUGAUACUACCGCUAUCAUCUCCGGUAAAUAAUUAGGCAUAAUUUUCCCUUAGGGAUUUUGUUGUUGUUUUGUGAUUUGUUUUACUCAUUGUUCUGGUUUUUAACACUUGAUUUCACCUGACAUACUGAGAAAUUUGAAAAACCGUAUUUCUUGUAUGCUAUCCUAUUUCUUGGCUAAACAUUUCCUUGUGUUGUGUCAAGUUUCCUCAACAUUCUGAUUAUAGUCCUUUCAAAUUUAUUCAGGUGGUUCAGAUUUUCUUAAGAGACAAGUUCAGAAGCAAAAGUAGGAUGGUAUGGGUAGCCUUGAGUGCACUUUGUAAAUUUAAUGUGCAUUCCCCAUUCCCAUCUCUUGGAGGUUUUUUUUUUUUGUUUUUUGUUUUUUUUUUUUUUUAGAGAUGGAGUCUCUCUCUGUCACCCAGGAUGGAGUGCAG
rnacentral:lncRNA from 10 species